UGUCGAGCGGAUGAGAAGAGCUUGCUCUUCGAUUCAGCGGCGGACGGGUGAGUAAUACCUAGGAAUCUGCCUGGUAGUGGGGGACAACGUUUCGAAAGGAACGCUAAUACCGCAUACGUCCUACGGGAGAAAGCAGGGGACCUUCGGGCCUUGCGCUAUCAGAUGAGCCUAGGUCGGAUUAGCUAGUUGGUGAGGUAAUGGCUCACCAAGGCGACGAUCCGUAACUGGUCUGAGAGGAUGAUCAGUCACACUGGAACUGAGACACGGUCCAGACUCCUACGGGAGGCAGCAGUGGGGAAUAUUGGACAAUGGGCGAAAGCCUGAUCCAGCCAUGCCGCGUGUGUGAAGAAGGUCUUCGGAUUGUAAAGCACUUUAAGUUGGGAGGAAGGGUACUUACCUAAUACGUGAGUAUUUUGACGUUACCGACAGAAUAAGCACCGGCUAACUCUGUGCCAGCAGCCGCGGUAAUACAGAGGGUGCAAGCGUUAAUCGGAAUUACUGGGCGUAAAGCGCGCGUAGGUGGUUCGUUAAGUUGGAUGUGAAAUCCCCGGGCUCAACCUGGGAACUGCAUCCAAAACUGGCGAGCUAGAGUAGGGCAGAGGGUGGUGGAAUUUCCUGUGUAGCGGUGAAAUGCGUAGAUAUAGGAAGGAACACCAGUGGCGAAGCGACCACCUGGGCUCAUACUGACACUGAGUGCGAAAGCGUGGGGAGCAAACAGGAUUAGAUACCCUGGUAGUCCACGCCGUAAACGAUGUCAACUAGCCUUGGAAUCCUUGAGAUUUUAGUGGCGCAGCUACGCAUUAAGUUGACCCUGGGGAGUACGGCGCAGUUAAAACUCAAAUGAAUUGACGGGGCCCGCACAAGCGGUGGAGCAUGUGGUUUAAUUCGAAGCAACGCGAAAAUUACCGGCCUUGACUGCAGAAACUUUCAAUGAUUGGUUGGGAACUCUGACCGCUGCAUGGCUGCGCAGCUUGCGUGAGAUGGAUCAACUCCCUGGGCUAUGCGGGGGAUCAUAGGUGGGAUAA
rnacentral:rRNA from 1 species